GACGAACGCUGGCGGCGUGCUUAACACAUGCAAGUCGAGCGGUAAGGCUCCUUCGGGAGUACACGAGCGGCGAACGGGUGAGUAACACGUGAGCAACCUGCCCUUCUCAUCGGAAUAAGCGUUGGAAACGACGUCUAAUGCCGAAUAUGACAACGGAUCGCAUGAUCUGUAGUGGAAAGCUCCGGCGGAGAAGGAUGGGCUCGCGGCCUAUCAGCUUGUUGGUGGGGUAACGGCCCGCCAAGGCGACGACGGGUAGCCGGCCUGAGAGGGUGACCGGCCACACUGGGACUGAGACACGGCCCAGACUCCUACGGGAGGCAGCAGUGGGGAAUAUUGGACAAUGGGCGCAAGCCUGAUCCAGCAACGCCGCGUGAGGGAUGACGGCCUUCGGGUUGUAAACCUCUUUCAGCAGGGACGAAGCGAAAGUGACGGUACCUGCAGAAGAAGGACCGGCCAACUACGUGCCAGCCGCCGCCGUAAUAC
rnacentral:rRNA from 1 species